rnacentral:rRNA from 1 species
GAUGAACGCUGGCGGCGUGCCUAAUACAUGCAAGUCGAGCGAACAGACGAGGAGCUUGCUCCUCUGACGUUAGCGGCGGACGGGUGAGUAACACGUGGAUAACCUACCUAUAAGACUGGGAUAACUUCGGGAAACCGGAGCUAAUACCGGAUAAUAUAUUGAACCGCAUGGUUCAAUAGUGAAAGACGGUUUUGCUGUCACUUAUAGAUGGUUCCGCGCCGCAUUAGCUAGUUGGUAAGGUAACGGCUUACCAAGGCAACGAUGCGUAGCCGACCUGAGAGGGUGAUCGGCCACACUGGAACUGAGACACGGUCCAGACUCCUACGGGAGGCAGCAGUAGGGAAGCUGCCGCAAUGGGCGAAAGCUUGACGGAGCAACGCCGCGGGAGUGAUGAAGGUCUUCGGAUCGGAAAACUCUGUUAUUAGGGAAGAACAAAUGUGUAAGUAACUAUGCACGUCUUGACGGUACCUAAUCAGAAAGCCACGGCUAACUACGUG